rnacentral:lncRNA from 1 species
UUUUAAAUAUUUCAUUGUGCAUACGAAAUACUUUUGGUACUGCAAAUAUAUUAAGACUUCGUUUGGAAUUGCGGAAAGAUUACGUUACGUACGGUGAGAAAGUACGUUGGAAAAAUAUCAUGUUUGUUUCUGUACAUAAUAUUGCGUACGUUGAAAAAAUAUCCUGUUUGUUUCUGUACCUAAUAUUGCGUUCCGCAUGAGUCGGUUACAAUAUAUUUUUUACGGUCCCACCGGAGAACGCAGAAGCAUAUCCCUACAUUGUUUUUCCUCAACUCCAUUCUAUCUAAUAGCGUUAGAUAGGCCUCAAUACCAAACUAAGCCUAAGAAUAAUAUAUAAGGAUAAUAUUUAAGAAUUAAAUAGCUCAAAACGGUCUUCUUAAAUCAGAUUCUUUGUUCUAUAAAAACAGCUAUAAGAUAUUCGGCAUAGAAAACUUUAAGAGUGUGUUUGGUUCGCGCUAUCUUUUUAAGAUUCCUAGUAAUCCAAUAUAAAUAAAAAAAAUGACAGUGUUUGACUAAACACAAUAAGUAAUAUAUUUGGUAAUACUAGAUUUAUCUAGAAAUGAGAUGCAUCCCAAAGUACUAAUCUCAUUCCUUUGAGGGAGGGUGGGUAUUCUUAUGUUAAUAGAUUGGAGUAAUUAUAAUAUGUCUAAUUUUUUUUUUCCAUCCCACCCGCCGGCUAGUUGGUAUUAUUUUUUUUUACACUCUAACCUCAUAUCUCUCUCUAAACUUAUCUUUUUUCUCUCUAAACUUCAACUUUUUUUUUCUCUCUCUAAAUUAAGUUAUUUUUUCCCCACUUUUUCUAAAAUCUCAAACUUCUUAUUCUCUCUAACCUCAACUCUAUUUCUCUUUUUAUUUCUUUAAUUAUGCUCUCUCUUUCUAACCUAUAUUUUCUCUCUCUUUUUUCUAAAAACGAUGUUGAAAUUUUUAUAGUAUUAUUUAAAAUUAAAUUAAUUAAUUAAUUAAUUGUAUAUUUUUUUGUAAUCUUAAAUAACAUAACUAAAUAAUAUGACCAUAUGAACCAAACACCGAAAUACUAUAUUCUUAAUAAUAGGAUGAAUAGGAAUAAAAUUAUCGAAUAUCUUUUUACUCCUAGUAAUCUUUCAUAGUGCAAACCAAACGCGUCCUAAAACUAUUCUAAUACCGAAAGAUUAUGCCAUGUUACA